UACAGAGGUCUCAAGCGUUGUUCGGAUUCAUUGGGCGUAAAGGGUGCGUAGGUGGCGGGGUAAGUCAGGUGUGAAAUUUCGGAGCUUAACUCCGAAACUGCAUUUGAUACUGCCUUGCUUGAGGACUGGAGAGGAGACUGGAAUUCACGGUGUAGCAGUGAAAUGCGUAGAGAUCGUGAGGAAGACCAGUGGCGAAGGCGGGUCUCUGGACAGUUCCUGACACUGGAGGCACGAAGGCCAGGGGAGCAAACGGG
rnacentral:rRNA from 1 species